rnacentral:lncRNA from 1 species
GAGAAGAGAAGUCAGAGUUGAGCUGGGGGAGGCUUCAGAGGCUCUGCAUGCCCAGGAGGCUUCUCUGAGACUGGGAAGGAGUGGAAACUCAGUAGCCCGUGGUCCUGGUUGCGCGCUCCCUCCCAUGUCUUCAUUAUCUGAUUUGGUAAAAUAUCUACAAGACGGGGGAGUCCGGGCUGCUUUCUUUGACACUGGUCAUCACUCCACACCUAGACGCUAUGUCCAUGUCUGGAAGAUGCUUUUAAGGAAGUUUUGAUGCAGAGAAGAGUGGCCGGUGCUCUUCCUCGCGUGCCACCAUCUGCUUACUUCCAGAAGCUAAUUAUUUUCAUGUGACUGAUGUGACUAAUAUUUUUUAACGCCUGCAGCCCACUUGAAGGCAUCCUUACCUGGACACUGGUGACAUGCCCACAAACCCUGGGAGAGGCAUUUUGACGGUUCUGAAAACAGCCAGUUACUUCCCAAGAGUUGCACAGAGAAGCCUGCACACUUCCAUCUGGAUAUUUAGUUACCCUCUUGGAAACAGUCUCCACUCCACCCAUCACAUUCUACCUCCAAGGACUGGAACACAGACUUAUUCCCACCUCCCCGCUUCUGGGCUCUUGGCUGGCCCCAGGUCUCUGACAAUCCUCCCUUGGGGCCAGAGGUACUCAAGGAUGCCAAGAGGGAUAUUGAGUUCACACACACACACACACAAGGUGCAAAAAAACCCCUUGGGUAUUGGCCUAACCAAUAAACACUUUUCUUUGGUUAAUCAUUGCUAUUAUCAAAAAAUCUUAAUAUAAAAAUCUAGGCUAUACAAAGAAAAUUACUCAAAUACAAAUGUUGUUCACAUUGUAAAUUUGCAUUCUACUACUUUUUUCAAGUUGUUUUUGCUUAAAAAUAUGUGUAAUCACAA